rnacentral:rRNA from 1 species
GAUGAACGCUGGCGGCGUGCCUAAUACAUGCAAGUCGAGCGAACAGACGAGGAGCUUGCUCCUCUGACGUUAGCGGCGGACGGUUGAGUAACACGUGGAUAACCUACCUAUAAGACUGGGAUAACUUCGGGAAACCGGAGCUAAUACCGGAUAAUAUAUUGAACCGCAUGGUUCAAUAGUGAAAGACGGUUUUGCUGUCACUUAUAGAUGGACCCGCGCCGCAUUAGCUAGUUGGUAAGGUAACGGCUUACCAAGGCAACGAUGCGUAGCCGACCUGAGAGGGUGAUCGGCCACACUGGAACUGAGACACGGUCCAGACUCCUACGGGAGGCAGCAGUAGGGAAUCUUCCGCAAUGGGCGAAAGCCUGACGGAGCAACGCCGCGUGAGUGAUGAAGGUCUUCGGAUCGUAAAACUCUGUUAUUAGGGAAGAACAAAUGUGUAAGUAACUAUGCACGUCUUGACGGUACCUAAUCAGAAAGCCACGGCUAACUACGUG